UGGCUUACAUGGACAUUAUUUCUCCAUGAGUGGACUUCCAUAUUUAGUGAAAAGCAAUAUCAAUGCAAAAUAUCAAGGUAAAAACAAAAGGAACCAGCAAUUUAUUAUAAGGUUAGGUGAGACCAAUGCAAAGGGAUAUACUUUUUUUUGACCCAUGAAUUUCAAGAUUUUCAAGUCAAAACAGCUGACCACUGGAAAAGCAGAGGCUUGUUCUCAGUUUCCUUUCACUUGAUGGCAUCAAACACUCUUUAGCUGAGAAGCCUUUCAAUCCUGAUCUUCAAUUACUGAAUGAAGGAAACUGUUUCCUGAGUUUUGCUUGGGUAUUUGCUUAUUUAAAUUGAACGAUCCAGAGCAAGAUAUAUCUUGAACUUCUGAUAAACCUUAU
rnacentral:misc_RNA from 1 species